rnacentral:tRNA from 1 species
GGGGAUUUAGCUCAGUGGUAGAGUGCUUGCUUAGCAAGUGCAAGGUCCUGGGUUCGGUCCCCAGCUCCG